rnacentral:rRNA from 1 species
GCUAGUAUGAAGGGGUAAACUAAAUUUUACUGUCUCCUUGGAAAGAAUAAAAAUUUACCUGUUAGUGAAGAGGCUAACAUAACUUUAAAAGACAAGAAGACCCUAUAGAGCUUAUCUUUACCUUUUGAAUUAAAAGAAUAAGAUUUUGUUGGGGCGACAUGGGAAAAUAAUAAACUUCCUACAAAUAAAGGCCAAUAAGCCUAUUACUCUACCCUUUUAUAAGGAUUUAAAAAAGCUACCUUAGGGAUAACAGGCUAAUUCCCCCUAAGAGCUCUAAUCGACGGGGGAGCUUGGCACCUCGAUGUUGGCUUAAGGUUCCUAUACUGCGCAGAAGUAGUAAAAGGUGGUUUGUUCAACCAUUAAACCCUU